GGGGAGCAAACGGGAUAGAUACCCCGGUAGUCACGCCGUAAACGAUGUCUACUAGCCGUUGGAGGACUUGAUCCUUUAGUGGCGCAGCUAACGCGAUAAGUAGACCGCCUGGGGAGUACGGUCGCAAGAUUAAAACUCAAAUGAAUUGACGGGGGCCCGCACAAGCGGUGGAGCAUGUGGUUUAAUUCGAAGCAACGCGAAGAACCUUACCUACUCUUGACAUCCAGUGAACUUUUGAGAGAUCAAUUGGUGCCUUCGGGAACACUGAGACAGGUGCUGCAUGGCUGUCGUCAGCUCGUGUUGUGAAAUGUUGGGUUAAGUCCCGUAACGAGCGCAACCCUUGUCCUUAGUUACCAUCAUUAAGUUGGGGACUCUAAGGAGACUGCCGGUGACAAACCGGAGGAAGGCGGGGACGACGUCAAGUCAUCAUGGCCCUUACGAGUAGGGCUACACACGUGCUACAAUGGCAUGUACAAAGGGUUGCCAAGCCGCGAGGUGGAGCUAAUCCCAUAAAGCAUGUCGUAGUCCGGAUUGGAGUCUGCAACUCGACUCCAUGAAGUCGGAAUCGCUAGUAAUCGUGAAUCAGAAUGUCACGGUGAAUACGUUCCCGGGCCUUGUACACACCGCCCGUCACACCAUGGGAGUGGGUUGCUCCAGAAGUAGAUAGCUUAACCUUCGGGAGGGCGUUUACCACGGAGUGAUUCAUGACUGGGGUGAAGUCGU
rnacentral:rRNA from 1 species